ensembl:lncRNA LINC02742 long intergenic non-protein coding RNA 2742
GCUGAGCAAUGUCAAGAUUUAGAAGUGUACAGCUCUCCUUUUCUCCCUUCUCAAUGAUUUUAUUUCCUGUAGUUUGUAGGAGGACUUUCAGAGAGCUGUUCUCUUUAUCCUUCUCUGUGGCUCUGGCUCUUUUCUGUAUCAUAGAGAAGUUAAAAAGAGUUGAUUAUCAUCUACUCUCCUAGGGUGGUCAAGACUUGAGGAUUCAGAGGCUGUUUCUCAAUUUAAGUCUCUAAGAAUAUGCCCUUCAGCCUUCUUACCUUGACUUCUGGAACUUUAUUGGUGAAAAAAAACUACGGCAUGACUCUGACAAUCCUUUGAAGUCAUGAAUAUACAAGAGCAUGAAUAAGAGAAGAAAAGAUGGAAGAUAAAAAGCAGAAGGCACUAUUCACAAUAGCGAAGACAUGGAAUCAAUCUAAAUCCCCAUCAAUGACAGAUUGGAUAAAGAAAAUGUGCUACAUAUACACAAUGGAAUUCUAUGCAGCCAUAAAAAAAGAAUGAGAUCGUGUCUUUUGUGGGAACCAGGAUGGAGCUGGAGGUUAUUAUCCUUAACAAGCUAAUGCAGGAACAGAAAACCAAAUACUGCAUGUUCUCACUUGUAAGUCAGAGCUAAAUGAUAAGAACUUACAAACACAAAGAGGGAAACAACAGACACUGGUGUCUACUUGAAGGGAGAAGGUGAGAAGAGAGAUAGAAGCAGAAAAAAUAACUACUGGGUAGUGGGCUUAAUACCUGGGUGAUGAAAUAAUAUGUAAAACAAACCCCCAUUACAGGUGUUUACCUAUGAAACAAACCUUCACAUGUACCCC